UGCCGAAGUUUUCCUCGGCAGUUAACUGCAGCCGGUUUCAUAAUUCGGCAGUUAACUGCCGAAGGGCAU
rfam:Medicago truncatula strain A17 chromosome 7, whole genome shotgun sequence.